rnacentral:rRNA from 1 species
CCUAAGGUAGCGAAAUUCCUUGUCAGGUAAGUUCUGACCCGCACGAAAGGUGUAAUGAUCUGGGCACUGUCUCAACCAUAGACUCGGUGAAAUCUUAAUACCUGUGAAAAUGCAGGUUACCCGCAACAGGACGGAAAGACCCCAUGGAGCUUUACUGUAGCUUGAUAUUGAAGUUCGGUAUAUUAUGUAGAGAAUAGGUGGGAGACUAUGAAGUUAGGACGCUAGUUCUAAUGGAGUCACCUUUGGAAUACCACCCUUAAUGUAUUGAAUUUCUAACCUCGAUCCAUUAUCUGGAUUAGGGACAGUGUCUGGUGGGCAGUUUGACUGGGGCGGUCGCCUCCCAAAAAGUAACGGAGGCGCCCAAAGGUUCCCUCAGAAUGGUUGGACAUCAUUCAAAGAGCGUAAAGGUAUAAGGGAGCUUGACUGCGAGACCAACAAGUCGAGCAGAUACGAAAGUAGGGCUUAGUGAUCAGACGAUUCAGAAUGGAAUGGUCGUCGCUUAACGGAUAAAAGUUACCCUGGGGAUAACAGGCUGAUACCACCCAAUAGUUCACAUAGACGGUGGUGUUUGGCACCUCGAUGUCGGCUCGUCGUAUCCUGGAGGUGAAGUCGCUUCCAAGGGUUGGGCUGUUCGCCCAUUAAAACGGCACGCGAGCUGGGUUCAGAACGUCGUGAGACAGUUCGGUCCCUAUCCGUUGUGGGCGUAGGAAAAUUGAAGAGAGCUAUCCUUAGUACGAGAGGACCGGGAUGGACAUACCUCUGGUGUAUCUGUUGUAGCGCCAGCUGCAGUGCAGAGUAGCUAUGUAUGGAAAGGAUAACCGCUGAAAGCAUCUAAGCGGGAAGCCUCCUUUGAGAUGAGUUUUCCCAUAUUUUAUAUAGUAAGAUCCCUUGAAGACUACAAGGUUGAUAGGCUGGAGAUGGAAGAAUGGCGACAUUUUGAGUUGACCAGUACUAAUAGAUCGAGGAUUUAAUCC